rnacentral:rRNA from 1 species
ACACGUAGGAGGCAAGCGUUAUCCGGAUUUACUGGGCGUAAAGCGCGUGCAGGCGGUCUGGUAAGUUGGAUGUGAAAGCUCCCGGCUCAACUGGGAGAGGUCGUUCAAAACUGCCGGACUAGAGGACGGUAGAGGGAGGUGGAAUUCCCGGUGUAGUGGUGAAAUGCGUAGAUAUCGGGAGGAACACCAGUGGCGAAGGCGGCCUCCUGGGCCGUUCCUGACGCUAAGACGCGAAAGCGUGGGGAGCGAACGGGAUUAGAAACCCUAGUAGUCC